AACCUCCGCAAUGUGAGAAAUCGCGACGGGGGGAUCCCAAGUGCCAUUCCUAACGGGAUGGCUUUUCAUUAGUGUAAAGAGCUUUUGGAAUAAGGGCUGGGCAAGACCGGUGCCAGCCGCCGCGGUAACACCGGCAGCUCUAGUGGUAGCAGUUUUUAUUGGGCCUAAAGCGUCCGUAGCCGGUUUAAUAAGUCUCUGGUGAAAUCCUGUAGCUUAACUGUGGGAAUUGCUGGAGAUACUAUUAGACUUGAGACCGGGAGAGGUUAGAGGUACUCCCAGGGUAGAGGUGAAAUUCUGUAAUCCUGGGAGGACCGCCUGUUGCGAAGGCGUCUAACUGGAACGGUUCUGACGGUGAGGGACGAAAGUUAGGGGCGCGAACCGGAUUAGAUACCCGGGUAGUCCUAACUGUAAACGAUGCGGACUUGGUGUUGGGGUGGCUUUGAGCUGCUCCAGUGCCGAAGGGAAGCUGUUAAGUCCGCCGCCUGGGAAGUACGGUCGCAAGACUGAAACUUAAAAGGAAG
rnacentral:rRNA from 1 species